rnacentral:rRNA from 1 species
CACUCCUACGGGAGGCAGCAGUGGGGAAUAUUGGACAAUGGGCGCAAGCCUGAUCCAGCCAUGCCGCGUGAGUGAUGAAGGCCCUAGGGUUGUAAAGCUCUUUCACCGGAGAAGAUAAUGACGGUAUCCGGAGAAGAAGCCCCGGCUAACUUCGUGCCAGCAGCCGCGGUAAUACGAAGGGGGCUAGCGUUGUUCGGAAUUACUGGGCGUAAAGCGCACGUAGGCGGAUCGAUCAGUCAGGGGUGAAAUCCCAGGGCUCAACCCUGGAACUGCCUUUGAUACUGUCGAUCUGGAGUAUGGAAGAGGUGAGUGGAAUUCCGAGUGUAGAGGUGAAAUUCGUAGAUAUUCGGAGGAACACCAGUGGCGAAGGCGGCUCACUGGUCCAUUACUGACGCUGAGGUGCGAAAGCGUGGGGAGCAAACAGGAUUAGAAACCCGGGUAGUCCCAUGA